rnacentral:rRNA from 1 species
GACGAACGCUGGCGGCGUGCUUAACACAUGCAAGUCGAACGGUGACCCAGGGCUUGCCCUGGUGAUCAGUGGCGAACGGGAGAGUAACACGUGGGCAACCUGCCCCUGACUUCGGGAUAACUCCUCGAAAGAGGAGCUAAUACCGGAUACGACCACUUCGGACAUCCGAUGGUGGUGGAAAGUUUUUCGGUCAGGGAUGGGCCCGCGGCCUAUCAGCUAGUUGGUGGGGUAAUGGCCUACCAAGGCGACGACGGGUAGCCGGCCUGAGAGGGCGACCGGCCACACUGGGACUGAGACACGGCCCAGACUCCUACGGGAGGCAGCAGUGGGGAAUAUUGCGCAAUGGGCGAAAGCCUGACGCAGCGACGCCGCGUGAGGGAUGGAAGGCCUUCGGGUUGGUAAACCUCUUUCAGCAGGGACGAAGCGAAAGUGACGGUACCUGCAGAAGAAGCACCGGCUAACUACGUGCCAGCAGCCGCGGUAAU